CCCUGCCAAGCAGAAGAGAGAGAGCCUCAGCCAGGCAGAUUCUAAUCCCCCUAAGACAAUCUGCCCUGCUGCAGAAAAGGUUUCUACUGGAGGAAACAUUGUACUGCUAGAUAUGAUAAGGAUGGACCAACCUAAGCCUAUCUGGGUUCCUGCCAGAAAUGUCCGACACCACCUCGCUGACCAAGAAGAUGGCCCGCCUCUCGUUGGCAGAUGAAGGAGAGAAGAAGAAGAGGGGGUGGCAGAGGACACACCACACCCAGAAGGUCAACAAGAUCUCCUGGAAAGACAUGCAUGACCUGAUGACUACUGCCCAGGCCAUGUGCCCUCCACAAGCCCCCCUCUCCUCUAUUCUCUUGGCUGUUUUGGUCAUUCUUCAUGUUAACUCUGCUAUUGUCCAGCCUCUCCUUUGCCUUCCCAACACCUACCACUGGAGAUUCUAUGCUAGGGAAACCUACAAAGGACACAACAAAAUCAUAGAGACCCAAGACUGUCCACUUGAAGGAUGUCGAACCAAGAUUGAGAUCCCUCUACACCCAGAUUCCAUCUCUACUACUCCCAGCCCCUUUCUCUGUUUCCUUACUGAAACACAGGUGAAUGUCUCCAAGAGAUCUCCAUAUAUGGAGGUUGCAAAUACUGGAACUGCAGAAUAGAAUCCACCAGUAGUGGCAGCAACAUGUUCACUAACCUUAACACUCAUUUUCACCUCUCCAUCAGCGAUCCAUGGAAUGAAUGUUGGCGAAUUGGAGUCAUGGAUAUACUUUACCCCGACGGCUAUGCCAAAUACCCAGUUGCUGACCUGCACAUCUCCCGUGAGCUUGUUCCUGCUUCCAAAUCAGCCUUUACCCAUGCUAAUAUUAUCCAACAGGAAAAUAAGUCUUAGAAGGAACUACAGGUUAUCCUCUCCUGGUUACAAUAUAUCCAAUGUGCAGCUGACCUCCUUCCCCUAACAAUUCAUCCCAACUCCUCCUAAUGCUUCUUCUGUGUUUCUCUCUCCCGACCAUUAUUAGCAGCUGUUCCCAUUAACAUUUCCUUUUACGACCUCCAUGGAACCCUCCCCACGAGGAAAGCAUAGGACAUUCCUCUCUUUGACCUACCUCGCCCUCUUUGCUUUGCAAGGCCCUCUUCAAAACCCCAUCUUACAUGUAUCCAUGACAUCACCAUCAUCAAACCAGUAUGUGUUAACCCCUCCUGCCCUCCUCUGGUGCAAAGGCACUACAAGUGCCUGCAUUAACCCCCCUUUUCAAGGCUCCUGCACCCCCAUGAUAAUUGUCCCCCAGGUUUAUCUCUACGAACUUGAAGAACUAGCCUUACAGAUGGGAGAAAGCCGAAAGAAGAGAGAGAUAUUCAUCCCUCUGCUCAUUGGACUAGGCCUUGCUGUCUCACUGGGUACAACAGGAAGUGCUGCAGCAGCCCUUGUCCAAACACAACAUCUGGCCAGCGACUUCCAAGAUAAGCUUGACCAGGCGAUGGCCUCCACUACAGACAGCCUCGAGUCUCUUCGAGUCUCUUCAAUGCCAGAUCUUUAGCAGGAGUCGCUCUCCAAAACCGGAGAGCCCUGGACUUACUGCUGAACAGGGAGGGACUUGCAUUUUGCUGGCAGAGGAAUGUUGCUUUUAUGUCAAUGAAUUUGGGCUGGUAGAACAAAAUAUACAAACACUUAAAGGA